GCAGUCGAGCGGAUGAGAGGAGCUUGCUCCUCGAUUCAGCGGCGGACGGGUGAGUAAUGCCUAGGAAUCUGCCUGGUAGUGGGGGACAACGUUUCGAAAGGAACGCUAAUACCGCAUACGUCCUACGGGAGAAAGCAGGGGACCUUCGGGCCUUGCGCUAUCAGAUGAGCCUAGGUCGGAUUAGCUAGUUGGUGAGGUAAUGGCUCACCAAGGCGACGAUCCGUAACUGGUCUGAGAGGAUGAUCAGUCACACUGGAACUGAGACACGGUCCAGACUCCUACGGGAGGCAGCAGUGGGGAAUAUUGGACAAUGGGCGAAAGCCUGAUCCAGCCAUGCCGCGUGUGUGAAGAAGGUCUUCGGAUUGUAAAGCACUUUAAGUUGGGAGGAAGGGCAGUAAGCUAAUACCUUGCUGUUUUGACGUUACCGACAGAAUAAGCACCGGCUAACUUCGUGCCAGCAGCCGCGGUAAUACGAAGGGUGCAAGCGUUAAUCGGAAUUACUGGGCGUAAAGCGCGCGUAGGUGGUUCGUUAAGUUGGAUGUGAAAGCCCCGGGCUCAACCUGGGAACUGCAUCCAAAACUGGCGAGCUAGAGUAUGGCAGAGGGUGGUGGAAUUUCCUGUGUAGCGGUGAAAUGCGUAGAUAUAGGAAGGAACACCAGUGGCGAAGGCGACCACCUGGGCUAAUACUGACACUGAGGUGCGAAAGCG
rnacentral:rRNA from 1 species